rnacentral:rRNA from 1 species
CCUACGGGGGGCUGCAGUGGGGAAUAUUGGACAAUGGGGGCAACCCUGAUCCAGCCAUGCCGCGUGAGUGAAGAAGGCCCUCGGGUUGUAAAGCACUUUCAGUGAGGAAGAACGCCUGGUGGUUAAUACCCAUCAGGAAAGACAUCACUCACAGAAGAAGCACCGGCUAACUCCGUGCCAGCAGCCGCGGUAAUACGGAGGGUGCGAGCGUUAAUCGGAAUUACUGGGCGUAAAGCGCGCGUAGGUGGCUUGAUAAGCCGGUUGUGAAAGCCCCGGGCUCAACCUGGGAACGGCAUCCGGAACUGUCAAGCUAGAGUGCAGGAGAGGAAGGUAGAAUUCCCGGUGUAGCGGUGAAAUGCGUAGAGAUCGGGAGGAAUACCAGUGGCGAAGGCGGCCUUCUGGACUGACACUGACACUGAGGUGCGAAAGCGUGGGUAGCAAACAGGAUUAGAUACCCGGGUAGUC